GAUCAGUGGCUACAGGACGAACGCUGGCGGCGCGCCUAACACAUGCAAGUCGAACGAGAGAUGAGGAGCUUGCUUCUCGAGCGAGUGGCGAACGGGUGAGUAACGCGUGAGGAACCUGCCUCAAAGAGGGGGACAACAGUUGGAAACGACUGCUAAUACCGCAUAAGCCCCACGGGUCGGCAUCGACCAGAGGGAAAAGGAGCAAUCCGCUUUGAGAUGGCCUCGCGUCCGAUUAGCUAGUUGGUGAGGUAAUGGCCCACCAAGGCAACGAUCGGUAGCCGGACUGAGAGGUUGAACGGCCACAUUGGGACUGAGACACGGCCCAGACUCCUACGGGAGGCAGCAGUGGGGAAUAUUGCACAAUGGGGGAAACCCUGAUGCAGCGACGCCGCGUGGAGGAAGAAGGUCUUCGGAUUGUAAACUCCUGUUGUUGGGGAAGAUAAUGACGGUACCCAACAAGGAAGUGACGGCUAACUACGUG
rnacentral:rRNA from 1 species